rnacentral:rRNA from 1 species
AGGCCUUUCGGGGUCACGAGUGGCGAACGGGUGAGUAACACGUGGGUGAUCUGCCCUGCACUUUGGGAUAAGCCUGGGAAACUGGGUCUAAUACCGAAUAUGACCAUGGCAUGCAUGUGCUGUGGUGGAAAGCUUUUGCGGUGUGGGAUGGGCCCGCGGCCUAUCAGCUUGUUGGUGGGGUGAUGGCCUACCAAGGCGACGACGGGUAGCCGGCCUGAGAGGGUGUCCGGCCACACUGGGACUGAGAUACGGCCCAGACUCCUACGGGAGGCAGCAGUGGGGAAUAUUGCACAAUGGGCGCAAGCCUGAUGCAGCGACGCCGCGUGAGGGACGACGGCCUUCGGGUUGUAAACCUCUUUCAGCACAGACGAAGCGCAAGUGACGGUAUGUGCAGAAGAAGCACCGGCCAACUACGUGCCAGCAGCCGCGGUAAUACGUAGGGUGCGAGCGUUGUCCGGAAUUACUGGGCGUAAAGAGCUCGUAGGUGGUUUGUCGCGUUGUUCGUGAAAACUCACAGCUCAACUGUGGGCGUGCGGGCGAUACGGGCAGACUGGAGUACUGCAGGGGAGACUGGAAUUCCUGGUGUAGCGGUGGAAUGCGCAGAUAUCAGGAGGAACACCGGUGGCGAAGGCGGGUCUCUGGGCAGUAACUGACGCUGAGGAGCGAAAGCGUGGGGAGCGAACAGGAUUAGAUACCCUGGUAGUCCACGCCGUAAACGGUGGGUACUAGGUGUGGGUUUCCUUCCUUGGGAUCCGUGCCGUAGCUAACGCAUUAAGUACCCCGCCUGGGGAGUACGGCCGCAAGGCUAAAACUCAAAGAAAUUGACGGGGGCCCGCACAAGCGGCGGAGCAUGUGGAUUAAUUCGAUGCAACGCGAAGAACCUUA